rnacentral:rRNA from 1 species
CCCUUAGAUGUUCUGGGCCGCACGCGCGCUACACUGAUGCAUUCAACGAGUUUCUUCCUGGUCCGAGAGGAAUGGGUAACCUUUUGAAAGUGCAUCGUGAUAGGGAUAGACUAUUGCAAUUAUUGGUCUUCAACGAGGAAUUCCUAGUAGACGUGGUUCAUCAGACUGCAUCGAUUACGUCCCUGCCCUUUGUACACACCGCCCGUCGCUCCUACCGAUUGAAUGCUCAGGUGAGCCAUUCGGACCUUCAUCAUGCCGGUUUCCGGUUUUGAUGAGGGAAAGUCUUGCGAACCUUAUCAUUUAGAGGAAGGAGAAGUCGUAACA